rnacentral:rRNA from 1 species
UUUUAAUUGAAGGCUGGUAUGAAUGGUUGGAUGAGGUACAAGCUGUGUCAUAAAAAUUAAUAUUUGAAUUUAACUUUUUAGUCAAAAGGCUAAAAUUUAAUUGAAAGACGAGAAGACCCUAUAGAGCUUUAUAUAAUGAUUAUUUAAUUUAUUAAGAUUUAUUAAAUUUAAUUGUUUUAUUGUAUUUUGUUGGGGUGACAAUAAAACUUAAAAAACUUUUAUUAUUAUUUUACAUUUAUUUAUGAUUUUAUGAUCCAGUUUUAUUGAUUAUAAAUUUAAGUUACCUUAGGGAUAACAGCGUAAUUUUUUUUGAGAGUUCAUAUCGACAAAAAAGAUUGCGACC